UGCAGUCGUACGAGAGUUUUUAACUCAAGUGGCGGACGGGUGAGUAACACGUAAGAAUUUGCCUUUAGGAGGGGGAUAACGACUGUAACCGGUUGCUAAUACCCCAUAUGCUAACAGUGAAAUGGAUUUUCCGCCUAAAGAGAAGCUUGCGGCUGAUUAGCUUGUUGGUGAGGUAAUGGCUCACCAAGGGGGGGGAGGGGGGGGGGGUUUGAGAGGACGAUCAGACCCCUGGAACUGAAAACACGGUCCAGACUCCUGCGGAAGGCACAGUAGGGAAUUUUCCGCAUGGGGCUAACGCCUGACGGACCACUACCCGGGGAGGAAUGAAGGCUAGGGUUGUAAACCUCUUUUUUCAGGAAGAAUAAAUGUUUGUUUACCUGAAAAUAAGCAUCGACUAGGGGGGGGGGGGGGGCCCCCCCCCCCCCCCCGGAUGCAAAGGGUAAUCCGGAACCCUGGGCGAAAGCGUCUGAAGUUGUUAAUAAGUCAGCUGUAAAUCUUGAGGCUCACCUCAAACUUGCA
rnacentral:rRNA from 1 species